AGCGAACGCUGGCGGCAGGCCUAACACAUGCAAGUCGAACGGAUCCUUCGGGAUUAGUGGCGGACGGGUGAGUAACACGUGGGAACGUGCCCUUUGGUUCGGAACAACUCAGGGAAACUUGAGCUAAUACCGGAUGUGCCCUUCGGGGGAAAGAUUUAUCGCCAUUGGAGCGGCCCGCGUCUGAUUAGCUAGUUGGUGAGGUAAAGGCUCACCAAGGCGACGAUCAGUAGCUGGUCUGAGAGGAUGAUCAGCCACAUUGGGACUGAGACACGGCCCAAACUCCUACGGGAGGCAGCAGUGGGGAAUCUUGCGCAAUGGGCGAAAGCCUGACGCAGCCAUGCCGCGUGAAUGAUGAAGGUCUUAGGAUUGUAGAAUUCUUUCACCGGGGACGAUAAUGACGGCACCCGGAGAAGAAGCCCCGGCUAACUUCGUGCCAGCAGCCGCAGUAACAC
rnacentral:rRNA from 1 species